rnacentral:rRNA from 1 species
GACGAACGCUGGCGGCGUGCCUAACACAUGCAAGUCGAACGGAACUGUUUUGAAAGAUUUCUUCGGAAUGAAUUUGAUUUAGUUUAGUGGCGGACGGGUGAGUAACGCGUGAGUAACCUGCCUUCAAGAGGGGGAUAACAUUCUGAAAAGAAUGCUAAUACCGCAUGACAUAUCGGAACCACAUGGUUUUGAUAUCAAAGAUUUUAUCGCUUGAAGAUGGACUCGCGUCCGAUUAGUUAGUUGGUGAGGUAACGGCUCACCAAGACCGCGAUCGGUAGCCGGACUGAGAGGUUGAACGGCCACAUUGGGACUGAGACACGGCCCAGACUCCUACGGGAGGCAGCAGUGGGGGAUAUUGCGCAAUGGGGGCAACCCUGACGCAGCAACGCCGCGUGAAGGAUGAAGGUUUUCGGAUUGUAAACUUCUUUUAUUAAGGACGAAAAAUGACGGUACUUAAUGAAUAAGCUCCGGCUAACUACGUG